GCAAUUCAGAUAUGCCUUUACACAAGUUUAAGGGAAAGAGAAAUAUAGAUAAAUUUAGGACACAAGGAGCUGAUUUUAAUAUUUUCCUCAUUGAAAUAGGAAAAAGGAAUCCAAAUAUAACUCAUCAUUGUUUAGUUCCCCGGUAGAAUCAAAUUUCUUAAUCCAGAUACAUGGACCAGCAAGUGCAAAAUUGAAGUCCCUUACCCACAAAAUUUACGCUCUAUCCCUCGAAAAUAAUAAAUCGAUAUAUUUACAAGACUUUUCAGCAACAAUAAGCAGUGCAAAGGAAGUACUUAUUCAAGUUUAUAUAACAAUGCAACAUAACAAUCCUUAGAAUUCCUUCCAGCACUAAUUCAGAACAGAAGAGUACAUAGAAAUGGCAUAAAUAUAAAAAAACAGUAUACACGAUGUCCAUAGCCCCGGGGGGGGGGGGGCGGGGGUUAUAAAUGAAUCAAAAUGUAACUAGGGCUUUACUGAAGUGAAAAGGAAAAUAAGGAUUUAUUGGAACGCUAGAAUUCUGCGAGGAGACAUUUUCACGAAGAGAAAUCGAAGUCAGGUGAUAGGCAAAUGACCUGCAGUUAGGACUGUUAAGUGCGGCUAGCAGGCUCAGCUCGUCCGACUAGCGUGAGAAGCAGCAAAUUUAUCGUGCCAUCUUCCAAGUUGGCUUGCGCUCUCGUCGGCUUGUGUACGAGCCGAGUGACAUACACUUUGGUUGAGUGAACCGAUUCCUGGCGAAUCAACGGCUGAACUCUUCCCAUUUAACAUCCUUAUACAUGAACUUUUCAAUCUACGGAAAUGGAGCCGGGAAAUCUAUAGGCUCCCUCCUCCGCUGACCGGUGGCGGACGGAUUAUUU
rnacentral:lncRNA from 1 species